ensembl:lncRNA
UGAGGAGCCCGCGGUUGUGUGGAGCAUCGCUACCCUGCCAGGGCUAGGCGGAGCGUUGCGUGAAGCGUCCGUGUAUCUGCGAGAUCUUGCUGUGGGCCAGGUAUCCAUUCUCCUGUGGCAGCCGUAGAACCUACGGAGACUAGAGGUCCGUGGGUGGUGGAGGAUCCUUUGCGUAGCAAAAAAGGAAGGCGAGUGCUCCUGCAUCCUCUCCAGACGAUACCCAGCUCAUCCAUCACAGACCGUGCAAAACAUGGUGGACCACCUCCAGGAAGACUACCUGGUAGCAUUAGCCUAUCCUAGAUGGCUCCUGACAUUUCUUUUUUUGCUUUGACAACUUAUCCAAUGUGAUGCUUGCCAUGUACCUUCACCAUAGUUACAUUCAUAUGCUGUAUCACAAUGUUUUGGCCAACAACAAACUGCCAUGGCACUGGUCUCAUACAGUUAAUCAUCUAGUGACACCAUACACAUUGGUUUGUAUAAGUACAUGCUGGUAAAAAUGAACACUUGAGAAAAGCUCCACCAUGAACAAGACUGACUUCAUCUGAUCUCAGAAGCUAAGUAAGGUCAGGGCCUGGUUAGAAAAAAAUUUGUGAUGUUUUUUACUGCCAUGCUAGGUCAGUUGGUAGAACAUAAGACCCUUUAAAAUGAACAAGUUUCUUAGAAUGUAUCUGCGGUUAAACAACACAUUACUGUACUUAUAUUGCAUUUAUUUAUCUAUUUAUUGUGUGUAUGAGUACACACAUGUCAACACACAGCAUGACAGUGGGGUUCAAAGGACAGCUUGUAGGAAUCAGUCCUUUUUGUACCCAACAAGUGCUCUGAAGAUCAAACUCGGGUUAUGAGACUUGGCAGCAAACACAUUUGCCCAAUAAAGCCCUCAUGCUGGACCCAAACUAUUUGGUUGCUUUUGUGUUUGUUGCCAAGGAUUGAAUCUAGGAAUGAUAGACACUGCCCCAAGCCUGUGGUUUUUCUUCUGUAUAAUUAAUAAGUGGUUUAUUUAUAGUAAGAUACUCCAUUUCAAAUGUUAAACUGUCCACUGCCCCUCUACGCUAGUUGUACACAUGACCAACAGCUGGCAUUGCCGCUCCUUUUCUACAAGAAUUUGACCACAUGAAUGCUCAUUUUCCUUCCUUCCUGGUACUGUAAUCAGAACCGUGCACAUGCUUGUCAGGAGCCUUUCUACAAUGUUAGUCACUGCCACCCACUUUUUUCCCCAUGCCCUUCCAGGCUAACUAUAGGUGAUUUUAAUAUCCUCAUAGAUGAUCUUUCUCAGUUCUCAGUUCUGUGCCCUACUCUCCUCCCAUCCAGAAAGACAAUUUCAUCUCUUCUCUCAGCCAAAAUCUCCAUGCUUUGGUCCUCAUGCUGAGGCCUGCCAUUUACCUAAAAUGUAAAGCUCUCAGAAAAAAAUGUCCAUCACUCAUGAGGCUGAG